rnacentral:tRNA from 1 species
ACGACUGUAGCUCAGUUGGUUAGAGCACCACCUUGACAUGGUGGGGGUCGGUGGUUCGAGUCCACUCAGUCGUACCA